rnacentral:rRNA from 1 species
UACGUAGGUGGCAAGCGUUUGUUCGGAAUUAUUGGGCGUAAAGAGCUCGUAGGCGGUUUGUCGCGUCUGCUGUGAAAUCCCGAGGCUCAACCUCGGGUCUGCAGUGGGUACGGGCAGACUGGAGUGCGGUAGGGGAGAAUGGAAUUCCUGGUGUAGCGGUGGAAUGCGCAGAUAUCAGGAGGAACACCGAUGGCGAAGGCAGUUCUCUGGGCCGUAACUGACGCUGAGGAGCGAAAGCGUGGGGAGCGAACAGG